AAUAUUUGUGUAACACUGCAUGCGGAAUUCUUGUUGGUUCUCUUUGACCUAAAUACUUAACAUCCUUAUAACAAGAAGAAGGGGAAGUUGGGGAGUUAUUUUGGGCGUGGUGGCAGCUGGGUUGGCUGGCGACGGGGCGAGGAUAAUGGUAGCGAAGCGACAAUGGACAGUGGUGGCGGCAGCAACAGAUGGUGCGGUGAUGGGUCGAG
rnacentral:misc_RNA from 1 species